AGUGAACGCUGGCGGUAGGCCUAACACAUGCAAGUCGAACGGCAGCACAGUAAGAGCUUGCGCUUACGGGUGGCGAGUGGCGGACGGGUGAGGAAUACAUCGGAAUCUACUUUUUCGUGGGGGAUAACGUAGGGAAACUUACGCUAAUACCGCAUACGACCUACGGGUGAAAGCAGGGGAUCUUCUGACCUUGCGCGAUUGAAUGAGCCGAUGUCGGAUUAGUUAGUUGGGGGGGUAAAGGCCCACCAAGGCGACGAUCGGUAGCUGGUCUGAGAGGAUGGUCAGCCACACUGGAACUGGGACACGGACCAGACUCCUACGGGAGGCAGCAGUGGGGAAUAUUGGACAAUGGGCGCAAGCCUGAUCCAGCCAUACCGCGUGGGUGAAGAAGGCCUUCGGGUUGUAAAGCCCUUUUGUUGGGAAAGAAAAGCAGCAGGUUAAUACCCCGCUGUUCUGACGGUACCCAAAGAAUAAGCACCGGCUAACUUCGUG
rnacentral:rRNA from 1 species